rnacentral:lncRNA from 1 species
GAGUUCCCGCGGCUGCUCGGCGGCGGCCGGCUCGGGAGCAACCUUGAGCGCGGCCGCGGAGACAGUGAUUUAGGUGCCGGCACCGGAGCGUGAAGCCUCCUGCUCUGUAAUCUGACAUCCUUUUCCCCACCUCUUCCAGCGAAGGCCCCGGGGAGCCGCCUCUUCAUCCACUCACAGGUCACUCCCUUCUUAGCUGGAACCUGGACCCUGGCUCAACUUGAAUUCCUUGGCCUCCCACUGGUUUCUCUCUGGAGCUGCAUUUUUCAACCUGUUGUUUGUGACUCUGUUCCAUGUGUCUUCAUUCUGGGGCUCGGGCUGAAAAAGCAGCUUCAAUCUGGUGGCAGAGGGGAAGAGCAAGAAAGAUGGUGGAAACGUGAGGUCCAAAGGCCUUAGCUUGGGCAUGGUCUAUGUCCCUCCUGUUCCUAUUCCAUUUGCUGAAAGGAGUCUUAUCGCCAAGUCCAACAGUAGGAUGGGAAGUACAAUUCUCCCACAAGGAUGGGUACCAGGGAGAGGCCCUGUAGGGAUGGGUUGGGAGAGAAGGGAGUGGAUUUUUUAACACGUCAUACCACACCC